UACACUGAUUAUUCUUUGAAGGUCUAGAGAAAAACCUAAAUACAGAAUGUUGUGGCAACUAGAGGAGGAAUUAGGGGAGUAGCAAGACAGAUCGCAUUUUAGAGCAGCUUUCAGAGAACGGACACUAUGAAUGACGGAGAGAAAGCUUAUAGCUUAGUUCCACCUUGAUUUCUUUGUGUCCUGCAUUCAGUGUGUGGUGUUUCCAGAAGUAGAGCUUGACUGCAUAGUUCUGAUAACAUGCUUUAAAUCUUCCUCCUUCCUGAUACUUCUUAUGAAUCUCUUCUUGCUCCUG